rnacentral:rRNA from 1 species
UACGUAGGGUGCAAGCGUUACUCGGAAUUACUGGGCGUAAAGCGUGCGCAGGCGGUUAUGUAAGACAGGUGUGAAAUCCCCGGGCUUAACCUGGGAACUGCAUUUGUGACUGCAUAGCUAGAGUACGGUAGAGGGGGAUGGAAUUCCGCGUGUAGCAGUGAAAUGCGUAGAUAUGCGGAGGAACACCGAUGGCGAAGGCAAUCCCCUGGACCUGUACUGACGCUCAUGCACGAAAGCGUGGGGAGCAAACAGG